rnacentral:rRNA from 1 species
CUAAUACCGCAUAAGCCCACGGCUCGGCAUCGAGCAGAGGGAAAAGGAGCAAUCCGCUUUGAGAUGGCCUCGCGUCCGAUUAGCUAGUUGGUGAGGUAAUGGCCCACCAAGGCAACGAUUGGUAGCCGGACUGAGAGGUUGAACGGCCACAUUGGGACUGAGACACGGCCCAGACUCCUACGGGAGGCAGCAGUGGGGAAUAUUGCACAAUGGGGGAAACCCUGAUGCAGCGACGCCGCGUGGAGGAAGAAGGUCUUCGGAUUGUAAACUCCUGUUGUUGAGGAAGAUAAUGACGGUACUCAACAAGGAAGUGACGGCUAACUACGUGCCAGCAGCCGCGGUAAAACGUAGGUCACAAGCGUUGUCCGGAAUUACUGGGUGUAAAGGGAGCGCAGGCGGGAAGGCAAGUUGGAAGUGAAAUCUAUGGGCUCAACCCAUAAACUGCUUUCAAAACUGUUUUUCUUGAGUAGUGCAGAGGUAGGCGGAAUUCCCGGUGUAGCGGUGGAAUGCGUAGAUAUCGGGAGGAACACCAGUGGCGAAGGCGGCCUACUGGGCACCAACUGACGCUGAGGCUCGAAAGUGUGGGUAGCAAACAGGAUUAGAUACCCUGGUAGUCCACACCGUAAAC